rnacentral:pre_miRNA from 1 species
AAAAAGACAAACCCUGGUUUCCGUGCCCAACAUUUGACCGUCCGUCUUAUUUGAAAAAAUUAUGAAAAAAAUUAAAAAGACAAGUCACGCAUAAAAUAUUAAUCAUGUUUUAUCAUCUAACAACAAUGAAAAUACGAAUUAUAAAAAAAUUUCAUAUAAGACAGAAAGUCAAAGUUGGACACGGAAAUCCAUGGUUUGCCUUUUU